UUGAUGUUGCUCCCCAGCAGCAUGGCGGUUUGUGUGGUUCACUACACGUAACAGAACCGCGAAUAAUCUUGUCGCCGGGAUAAGAAACGUUUACUGUCCUGGGCAGGCCGUGAGAUGGAUGGGGUACACCUGGAGUUCCCGGCCUUGCCCUCUUCCAGGGAGGAUGCGGGGGAUUGGAUGUAUCCAAUGAGACGAGCAAUGCAGGAGAUACUACCUGGCUUGUACUUGGGUCCAUAUUCUGCCGCUAUGAAAAGUAAGCUUCCCAUUCUUGAAGAAAAUGGAAUAACUCACAUUAUAUGUGUACGGCAAGAUAUUGAAGCAAACUUCAUCAAGGCAAAUUUCCAAGAGAAAUUUAGGUAUUUAAUUUUGGAUAUUGCUGAUAAUCCAGUGGAAAAUAUAAUACGAUAUUUCCCUGUGACAAAAGAAUUCAUUGAUGGAUGCUUGAAAAAUGGAGGAAAAGUUCUUUUACAUGGAAAUGCAGGUAUUUCUCGAAGUGCAGCCUUGGUCAUAGCAUAUGUUAUGGAAACAUUUGGAGUUAAGUAUAGGGAUGCCUUUACCUAUGUUCAGGAAAGGAGAUUUUGUAUUAAUCCAAAUGCUGGAUUUGUCCAUCAGUUACAGGAAUACGAAGCCAUUUAUUUAGCAAAAUUGACAAUAAAGAUGAUGUCACCACUCCAACUGGGCAGAUCUGUUUCUGCACAAGUUGUUCUCAGGAUGUGAGCGCUACUGGAAAUGCAGCAUUUAUCACCCAUCCUUAAUUGCCCUGAGAAGGCCAUCUCCUUUUAACUGCUGGCAAUCCUUCUGCUGAUGGUAUUCACACAAAAGUGUUAGGAACAUUGAAAAGAACACUGGAGGAUGAUGAUGAUUUUUCAAGUAUGCAGGUGGCUGUAGCUCAUAAUGGGUAACCUGUAACUACAGAAUUGCUUGUACUGGACAUGAUUGCUGUAUUAAAUAUAAGUGAAUAGGAGGAUGAAGUGUUAUUGAAGAUUAUGAAUACUAGAAGUUGAUAUUACACAGCACAUUUACUUUAUUUCCAUUUCUCAGCUUUGUCUGGCUACUUCUGAGGAAGUGAUGCUGGAACAGAAAACUUGCCCUUUGAGAACAACCUGGAGCAACAUAUGCCUGUGAAAUUGUAUAAUAGUGAUUUAAUUCUGACCGGGAAGUGGAGCAAAAUGAUUUUUUGAUGGAUUUACAAGUCUUCAUAUGCUAAUUUUACUUUUUUUUUUACCAGGACUGCCAUUUUGACAGUUAAUAAGUACGCAUGUGCUAAUACAUUGAUGCACUUUUGAUACUUGAAUUUUGAUUGUAUGUAAGUUUGAUAGGGAAAUAAUGCACUGUGUGCUUGAUGUCAGACCCAUACAUGCAAUUUAUGUUACAAAGUGUUAAUCUUUUUGU